rnacentral:piRNA from 1 species
UGAUAGACCAGUAGUCUGCUAGAUGCCCAAC